AAAUGUAGAGGUUGCGUUUUUCAUCAGUAUGCUGGCUGAUAUGUACAGGCAUAGAAGAGGCCGGGAGAAAGGGAAGAACGCCGAAGGGACGAAUAGCCUGAAUAGGAGUUCCUGGGCGUAUGGUUAAGAGCUAUAUGACUGUCAUCCAGCCGGAUGGAGCGCUACUUA
rnacentral:ncRNA from 1 species